GUGCCUUCCUGUGUUUCUGAACUUCCUGCUUCAGAUAGGGGGAGAUUGGGCCGGGGGAGGUUCGGGAGGGUUGGGGCUUGAGCCCUGCCCACGGAGGGCCAGGGAAUCUGCAUUUCAACACGCCUGGCAUGGGGCUCCAAUCACACCAAAGGCUGAGAAUUUACUUCAGGUGCCAGGGGAAAAUACAGACGCAGUCCAGGGACCGUCCCCUCCCUCCAGGAAUUCCUAUAUAAUAAAGUUGCAGCUAUAAACGAACACCUACGGGAGGAUCAUCGUGAGCAGCACCAGUGGGCGUGCCAAGGGUGUGUGUCUGGCACGGAAAAUGUGUAAGGCGCUCAGGUCCCUCUGGACUUGGCUGUGACCGGGCCGCUUGCGUGGACGAGGGAUAGACCGCUGGCUGUUUGGGGUCCUCACUCUUUGGUCACUAGAUUUGUCAGUAAAGGGAUAAGCCCUGCUGACCGGGGAGAGGGGGACGGGGUGAGGGGGUGCUCC
rnacentral:lncRNA from 1 species